AUUUUGACACGCGCCCAUCCCCCCCACAUCUCACGGUCGGAGUCAGUUUCACAGAGCAGCGCAGGAGGACGACAGACACAUAAAUAAAGAACAUUAACAGUUUAGCACAAAUGUUUCCCGUGGAAGUUUGAAUCUCUCUCAGUCAGGGGGGAGAUUGACUGACUGACUGUUUACUCGCCACCAAACAGUAAUUUACCCUGAAACCUUUUACAGUAAGGACUAACGUUAACUGACUGUCUGUCUGCUCUCAACCAAACAGUCAUUCAGGACCUUGUAAAGUUUAGCGCAAACGUUUCCUGCGCAAGUUUGAAUCUCUCAGUCAGGGGGGAGAUUAACUGACUGACUGACUGACUGUCUACUCGCCACCAGUCAGUUACACAGAAACCUUUUAAAGGAAAUGUUACCACAUUUAUUUAUUUAUUAUGUUGUUUGAGUACACCACAGUUAUGUAAGUGGAAAAUUAAUUCAUAUUUAUGUGUGUUUUCUCACAGUUUAGCACAAACGUUUCCCGCGCAAGUUUGGAUCUUUACCAUUGAGGGUGGCUUACUGUUCUCUACCAACCAUCAUGCACACGCAAAAACUUUAAAGAUAAGUAUGAACGUGCCCAGAGCAGUUUUCGAUCUUUACCAUUAAGGUGGCUGACUGACUAUCCUCUACCACCCAUCAUUAACACAACAAAAACUAAAGAAAUGUUACUCCAUAUGGACCUAUUCAUUUACUCAUUAUGCUGUGAGUACACCACAGUUUUAUCAGGGAAAAAAUGUAUAUUUGUGUGUUUCUCACUGCUUGGCAAGGACAGAUGUGGCCCUGUUAAAAAUGUUUAAAUGUCGUUUGGUUUAAGGAACAGCACACUGAUUUUGUUUUAAAUAUUCCUGUUUGGACAGUCUGUUAAAGUCAUAAAGCAGGGGUGGGGAACCCUGGUCCUGGAGGGCCACUGUCCUGCAGAGUACAGUUCCAACCCUAAUUAAACACACCUGUAAAAUCUAAUU